AUUGAACGCUGGCGGCAGGCUUAACACAUGCAAGUCGAGCGGAGAUGAGGUGCUUGCACCUUAUCUUAGCGGCGGACGGGUGAGUAAUGCUUAGGAAUCUGCCUAUUAGUGGGGGACAACAUUCCGAAAGGAAUGCUAAUACCGCAUACGCCCUACGGGGGAAAGCAGGGGAUCUUCGGACCUUGCGCUAAUAGAUGAGCCUAGGUCGGAUUAGCUAGUUGGUGGGGUAAAGGCCUACCAAGGCGACGAUCUGUAGCGGGUCGGAGAGGAAUGAGCCGCCACACGGGGACUGAGACACGGCCCAGACUCCUACGGGAGGAAGCAGUGGGGAAUAUUGGACAAGGGGCGGAAGCCUGAUCCAGCCAUGCCGGGUGUGUGAAGAGGGCCUUUUGGUUGUAAAGCACUUUAAGCGAGGAGGAGGCUACCUGGAUUAAUACUCUAGGAUAGUGGACGUUACUCGCAGAAUAAGCACCGGCUAACUCUGUGCCAGCCGCCGCCGUAAGAC
rnacentral:rRNA from 1 species